rnacentral:rRNA from 1 species
AGAGUUUGAUCAUGGCUCAGAAUGAACGUUGGCGGCGUGGAUUAGGCAUGCAAGUCGUGCGAGAAUCUCCUUCGGGAGAGGACAGCGGCGAAAGGGAGAGUAACGGGUGGUUACAUACCCUCAGGCUCGGGAUAGUGUCGGGAAACUGACAGUAAUACCGAAUAAUAUCUUUGGAUCAAAGGUGUGAUUCCGCCUGGGGAUUGGACCGCUUUCUAUUAGCUUGUUGGCGGGGUAAUGGCCCACCAAGGCUUAGAUGGAUACCGGGUGUGAGAGCAUGGCCCGGCUCACUGGGACUGAGACACUGCCCAGACACCUACGGGUGGCUGCAGUCGAGAAUCUUCGGCAAUGGGCGCAAGCCUGACCGAGCGACGCCGCGUGCGGGAUGAAGGCCUUCGGGUUGUAAACCGCUGUCAGUUGGGAGGAAAUAUUAGGGGGUACUCCCCCUAAUUUGACCGAUCUUCAGAGGAAGGACGGGCUAAGUUCGUGCCAGCAGCCGCGGUAAGACGAACCGUCCAAACGUUAUUCGGUAUCACUGGGCUUAAAGCGUUCGUAGGCGGCCUAGUAGGUGAGAUGUGAAAGCCCACGGCUCAACCGUGGAACAGCGUUUCAAACCACUAGGCUCGAGGAUGGCAGGGGUAAUGGGAACUGAUGGUGGAGCGGUGAAAUGCGUUGAUAUCAUCAGGAACACCGGUGGCGAAAGCGCAUUACUGGGCCAUUUCUGACGCUGAGGAACGAAAGCUAGGGUAGCGAACGGGAUUAGAUACCCCGGUAGUCCUAGCCGUAAACGAUGAGCACUGGGUUGAGGGGACUUCCACAUCUUCUCGGCCGUAGCGAAAAGCGUUAAGUGNUCCGCCUGGAGAUGAC